rnacentral:rRNA from 1 species
CAGUAGCCGCGGUAAUACGUAGGUCCCGAGCGUUGUCCGGAUUUAUUGGGCGUAAAGCGAGCGCAGGCGGUUUGAUAAGUCUGAAGUUAAAGGCUGUGGCUCAACCAUAGUUCGCUUUGGAAACUGUCAAACUUGAGUGCAGAAGGGGAGAGUGGAAUUCCAUGUGUAGCGGUGAAAUGCGUAGAUAUAUGGAGGAACACCGGUGGCGAAAGCGGCUCUCUGGUCUGUAACUGACGCUGAGGCUCGAAAGCGUGGGGAGCGAACAGGAUUAGAUACCCGGGUAGUCCCUGUCUCUUAUACU